GUGCCAGCAGCCGCGGUAAUACGAACUGUGCGAACGUUAUUCGGAAUCACUGGGCUUAAAGGGUGCGUAGGCGGUCCGCCAAGUCCGGUGUGAAAUCCCCCGGCUCAACCGGGGAAUAGCGCUGGAAACUAGCGGGCUGGAGCGAGGUAGGGGUACGUGGAACUUCCGGUGGAGCGGUGAAAUGUGUAGAUAUCGGAAGGAACGCCGGUGGCGAAAGCGGCGUACUGGGCCUUGUCUGACGCUGAGGCACGAAAGCCAGGGGAGUGAACGGGAUUAGAUACCCCGGUAAUCCUGGCCGUAAACACUGAGCACUGGAGGGGAGGGGCCUCGUGCCUUUUCCCUCGCAGCGAAAGCGUUAAGUGCUCCGCCUGGGGAGUAUGGUCGCAAGGCUGAA
rnacentral:rRNA from 1 species